rnacentral:rRNA from 1 species
UUCCAGACUCCUACGGGAGGCAGCAGUGGGGAAUAUUGCGCAAUGGGCGAAAGCCUGACGCAGCGACGCCGCGUGAGGGAUGAAGGUCUUCGGAUCGUAAACCUCUGUCAGCAGGGAAGAACGGUCACUGUGCUAAUCAGCAGUGAAUUGACGGUACCUGCAAAGGAAGCAUCGGCUAACUCCGUGCCAGCAGCCGCGGUAAUACGGAGGAUGCGAGCGUUAUCCGGAUUUAUUGGGUUUAAAGGGUGCGUAGGCGGAAUAUCAAGUCAGCGGUAAAAAUUCGGGGCUCAACCCCGUCGUGCCGUUGAAACUGAUGUUCUUGAGUGGGCGAGAAGUAUGCGGAAUGCGUGGUGUAGCGGUGAAAUGCAUAGAUAUCACGCAGAACUCCGAUUGCGAAGGCAGCAUACCGGCGCCCAACUGACGCUGAAGCACGAAAGCGUGGGUAUCGAACAGGAUUAGAUACCCGAGUA